rnacentral:rRNA from 1 species
AUUGAACGCUGGCGGCAGGCUUAACACAUGCAAGUCGAGCGGUAGCACAGGGGAGCUUGCUCCCUGGGUGACGAGCGGCGGACGGGUGAGUAAUGUCUGGGAAACUGCCUGAUGGAGGGGGAUAACUACUGGAAACGGUAGCUAAUACCGCAUAAUGUCGCAAGACCAAAGUGGGGACCUUCGGGCCUCACACCAUCGGAUGUGCCCAGAUGGGAUUAGCUAGUAGGUGGGGUAAUGGCUCACCUAGGCGACGAUCCCUAGCUGGUCUGAGAGGAUGACCAGCCAAACUGGAACUGAGACACGGUCCAGACUCCUACGGGAGGCAGCAGUGGGGAAUAUUGCACAAUGGGCGCAAGCCUGAUGCAGCCAUGCCGCGUGUGUGAAGAAGGCCUUAGGGUUGUAAAGCACUUUCAGCGAGGAGGAAGGGUGGUGUGUUAAUAGCACAUCACAUUGACGUUACUCGCAGAAGAAGCACCGGCUAACUCCGUGCCAGCCGCCGCAGUAA